UACGUAGGGUGCAAGCGUUGUCCGGAAUUAUUGGGCGUAAAGAGCUCGUAGGCGGUUUGUCGCGUCUGCUGUGAAAACUCGGGGCUUAACCCCGGGCCUGCAGUGGGUACGGGCAGACUAGAGUGCGGUAGGGGAGACUGGAAUUCCGGGUGUAGUGGUGAAAUGCGUAGAGAUCCGGAGGAAUACCAGUGGCGCAAGCGGCGCUCUGGGUCGCAUCUGACACUGAGACGCGAAGGCAUGGGGAGCGAAUGGG
rnacentral:rRNA from 1 species